UGCUGUUCGUAAUACGUGGGUGCUGUGGUGGAGGUGAUUCCCUGAUGAGCUUAAAAGUUCCUAACAACGAUGAAAGGUAAUGAUAUACAGGGUGAGUACAAAGUUUUGCCUUGUUUAUAAAAAAUUAUAACCGUUUGACAUAAUUAGUUACAUUUGAUGCCCUUAGAUCGGUUAGUGUUACUAGUUGUUUUGAUCAAUACAUGCAGCUAGUGCUCAAUCACCGACGCGGUCAGUUAGGUCACGUUAGUUGCUGGUGAAAUGGCGUCGAAGCAGAAGAAAGCGCAAUGUGUGCUUUGGUUUCACGAAACUUAAUCGGCCAUCAGUAUUCAACGUAAAUUUCGGGCUUAUUAAGGACGCAGCCUUCCUGACGUUAAAUCAAUAAACCGAAGGUGUGCAACGUUUAACGAAACAGACAGCGUCGAAGAUCACCUUCAACAGUUCGUAGUGUUCGGCAAUAGUUUCAACGGAGUCCCUCUAAAUUAACUUGUCUAGCAGGAUCACGUGAACUUCAAAGAUUCAUCAAAGGUGUAGGUUGCAUGCUUACAAAGUGCAAAUCGUGUAAGCCUUGCAACCGAAUGAUUUUCUGAUAUGUUGCUAAUUUGCAACUGAAAUCCUCAACAGAUUGAUGGCCCUAACGUUUAUUUAAAUAUGCUUUACCGGUGAAUCAACCUUUCAUGUUAGUGGGAUGGUAAAUAGGCAUAAUGUCCGUAUAUGAGGUUCGGAGUCUCAACAUUCUACUGUAGUUACAGCUUAAAAGUGAACGCUGCCUCAUGCAUAACAAGGUUUUUGGACCGUUUUUCUUCGGGGAAAUAUCAAUUACCGCUAACAGUUACUUCGACGUUUUGCAAUAGUUCAUUCCCACACAGAAGAAUAUCAACCAUGGAUAAUUUUCCAGCAAGAUGGAGUACUCAUAUAUCGCCCAGUGCGUGAUUUCUUGGAUGAAAAGUUACGUGAUCGGUGAAUUGGAAGGGGCUAAUAACCGCAUCAAAUGUAAAUCAUGUCAAACGGUUUUUCUGUAAUUGUUUAAUCAGGGCAACACUUUGUGCUCAAUUUUUUUUUACAUUCGGUGGACGAUUCGUGCGAAUGAUUGGGCGAGUUGGACCACGUGACAGGAACCCACAUCGAACAUCUCAGUGGAGAGAUCAGUACGUGAAUAAAAUUGUCCCAGCAACCCUUUAGCAGUUAUGGCCGGCUGUAGACAGCAUGGCUCGAUAUUUUUGCCAACGACUGGAUAAGUUAUUCACAAUGCUGUCAAUCCCGAAGACACACAGACGUGAGCAGCAGGAUUUUCGGUUGUACUGGAUUAUCGACCUAAUUUUUCAGACACGCCUAGAAAUUAGCUGUUUAGUUUACCAACAGCAACUAGUGCAUUGAAACUCUCAUGAGCCAGAGCAUAUUUUCGUAUCCUUUCAACUACUAAUGUUAUAUUGCGGCAAUUGGCCAAUAUGGCGUCAAAUCCGGUAAGCUUGUAUCGGUCUGCUCCAAAAGUAGUUGCAAGGAAAUUUAAGUAUCCUAUUGUCUUAAACUGGAAAACUUGUUCAUGCCCUUAACAGACAAUGGGACUCUGUAGUGUGGCCCCGUGGAUGUUGUGAAAUGUACUGAAUCCUCAUUGUGUGGUAGAAUGUUGGAGAAAUAGUAUGUUUGUGGAAAUUAUCAUUAUUUUCUCUAUGGAACCGAUUUUGUGUGAGCGAAUGCCUGAAUGAACUAGAUCAUCGUGGAUAUCGGGCACUAAUUGCCCCAUUAACAUAUGCAGACAUACAACCGAUUAGCUAAACUAUUUUAUUUAGUUGGGUGUAGGCUGCUGAGUCAUGUCGCCACUGCCAAGGUUUAGUGACGAUGGCGGCAUCAGUUGUAUUGUAGCCGUCAAUACAGUUUGUUUUGUAGCUGGAAGCUAGUUUCUAGUUUUAAAAAAUUGCUGUAGAAAAGAAGUUUUGUUUUCUUAAACAAACCAAACUAACAAUGAGGAAGUAAAAGUUAAAAGUUCUCGAAGGUGGCUGUGAUCUGGCAUUUCGAUUUGGUAGGCUAAUACAAAUUAGUCUGUAAUUAAGCACUCCAACCGACAACAGUAGUAAAUUAUUUUAAAAGUGAUCUUUUCUCUGUUAAUAGCUGCAUUGACUGUAAAGUACUAAGAGAAUGUUUUCUCUUUUCAGUUGCAAGGCUGUGCAAGAAAACUGGAAGCAGAGACAGUGUAAAAGGAUUGGGUUUGUUUCGGGAUUCGUGACAGUUCUUACUCAGUAAAAUAAUUACAUGUAAUAUUGUAGAACUUUAUUAAAUAAAGACUUCCACAAAGUGAUAGCAAGUAAAGGUUUUGUGAAUAUUAGCUAAGUGCCUUAUCCUUACCCUACUUUAAGUAAAAUUACUCAGAAGAAAAUGACUGUGAUAUGUAGAGAAUUUAAUGUUGUUAUUAAUCUAGAUUCCAGCACUCCUGAUUCACGGUGAAACAACUUCGUUGAUAGUAAAAGAAAAAUAGCUUUGAGUUGUGCUUGUCAACAUUGGAAGUCUGCAGUUAAAAACUGAAGAACAAUGAGAUGAUACCAGUGUUUCAUAUUUUCAACGUUGCCAGGUAUUCUGCACAUAGAUUUAGUUUUCUUGUCCUUGCAGACAAGUGGCAGCUACUGAACAUUGACAUGACUGUUAUAAAAGUUCUUAAACAUAAAUACUUUAAAUGUAGGCCCAACUUUUACAAGAUUUCUUGGAACUAUGAGCAUUUUAAUGGAAACACCAUUGAAUGCUUGGUAUACAGAUGAUAAACAUUGACAUUUCAGGAUGUGUUAAAAUAGCUUGCAGAUUAAGCAGUCAAGUUCAUCAUGAUAGCUGCAGUUAUGGAAAUGGAAUUUCAUAUUUGUUUUGGAAAAAGCCAUACUUGUGGUGUGGUUGCACCUAAUCAGAUUUCCAAUAAAUUGAAUUCCUGCACUAAGAUUAGUCAAGAACACGACAGGUUUGUUAUACAGCUGUCCAUGAAGUGCCCAAUGUCAUUGGCUAGUGCAUCAUAUACUGUGAAUCAUUAUAUGAAGCAUGUUGUUGAAGAGGGUAAGUGCCAGUUUCUCAUUAGCAUUCUAGUGUGGAAAUCUCAAGUAUCAAUAUUGACAUUAGUGCCAGUUAUACUUGGCUGAUGGGUAUUUGCAAAAGGAGGGUGUAGUGUAUAUUCUUGUUUGUGCCUUUUAUUUGGAUUAAAAUUUGAGGUAAUAAAGGCUUUCUGGAAAUUUACUGAGUAGUAAGCAUGUAUUUUCUAGUGUCAAAUUGAAACGUAACUGCAAAGUUACAGGGUAAUUUUCAAGAAGCUCUGGGUAUCGCCAAAGUUGUGAGCUCAGCGCAAGGGAGACAUAUGCUAGACUCAGAAAGAGGGUGGGGUGAGUAGUCGGAUAUGGUUCCAAGGCUUCGUGCAUUGGUAAGGGAAUGGGGUAUGACAUUAAUAGUAAUGUUUCUUAAUUGAAUUGUGAGAAGGGAAGUGCAGCAGUGUAACACUUAUAAUAAAAUGUGAAUCCAGUUAGUACAUUUACCUUGGCACUCAAGUGAGGACGCGACGUCAAUACCAAAGGUUUCUUGGACAUUAAAACAGAAGUAACGUUCCCAGGCAAAUUUUUUUCCCAGGGUGUGCAAUUUUUGCAUUCUUCGUCUAAAAAUGUUGCUUUUGAUGGUAGACCCGACAGGUAUAAUUAAAACGGGUACUAGAAAUAACUUUGUUACUUACGACUUUCACUACCUUUGCUUGCUCUGUAACCAUAUGGUGGCACAGUAGUCUGGCGAUAGAAAUUUACUUCCCUUGAGCAAUCUUUCUUUUAUUUCCAGAAUUCUAUGGCAGUGGUGCUCCAGAUGUGCGUUUUAUACCCAAGUCUAAUGAAAUAACUUGCCAUAGUAUGUCUCAAGUUGACUUUGUAGAAUGAUUUUUACUUAAUUAAAAUUUUGGUCUGAGAGUGGAGUACAGUUUGACUAACAGCAGACAGAGUAAGGUCAUUUCCAAAAUUUAACACCGAUCUGGGAAGUCCAGCAUAGCAUUUCUUUAUGAAGUCAACAGAAGUGAUCUGCAGCCUAGCUGUGGGAUUUGGCCCACGAAGUAACAAGACUAUUAUCAUGCUAGACGUACUGGAACUAAUGCACACAGCUUUUUCACGCUGACAGGAUAUAGAAUGGCUUCUCGUAAAAGAAGAGAGAAUGCUUCACAUGGCUGGCUUUGUGGAUUCUGUUGUUGAUAGGCUCAUUAUCAACGUAGCAAGUGACAUUUCCAGAAUUGAAAUGUUUUCGGAUAAGGAAGGAGCUAAGAGAUCACCAGAUGACUGACUAACUGAGCAAGAUAUGAAAUGGUAAAUUACACAACAGAGAACUUGUGAAUCUUGUACCCAGCAUAUUUUUACUGAAAAGUUUUAAGAACAAUGCGGCUAGCAAACAGAAGACUUGAUCUUCUGCAGAAAGACAUGUAUGAUAUACUUGUAAAAAGCAGUAAUAAUGUUGACUGAACAAGCAAGAAAUCCAGUUUUAUGCAACAAUUGCUGCUACAGCUGAUCCACAAAAGUAAUGGGAUUGCACAUGGAGCUGAACAGAAAGUGGGUGCGAGCCACAUAUUACAAAAUAACCUGAGGAGGAUCGAAAUACAUGGAACUUGUUUCUGCUGUUGGAUUGAGCUGAUAAGUUGUUGAGGUGAAAGCAUCGUUUGUGACUAGAUGUGAGAAGAAAGAGCCCACAGAAGACUCUCUCUUGUUGUGAGACUUAAAUGACUAUAACUUGGAGAGACAAUUGUUUCUCUCAGUGAGAUGCCGUGUGAGAAUGACGGGAACCGAUUAUGCGGAAUAGCAUGGGCUGAGCUGCCAACCAAUCCAGCGUAGGACCGAACAAAAUUGGAUGGAUACUUGGUAAUUGUACUUAGUGAUUUUGUUUCAGAGAAAGUGGUCUUUGAUAGAGAUUGUGCUGCAUAGUAAUGGCAGUUAGAUUUUUGUUGUGUUAGAUCUAAUGAUUAACCAAG